rnacentral:lncRNA from 1 species
GGUUGGGAUACCGCUAACAUGUUUAACCCCGCCACAUUAUUUAUGUAUGUGCCUGUCCCAAGUCAGGAGCCUGUAAUUCAGUGGUUGUCGUUUGUUUAUGUGUUACAUAUUUGUUUUUCGUUCAUUUUUUUUAUAUAAAUAAGGCCGUUAGUUUUCUCGUUUGAAUUGUUUUACAUUGUCAUAUCGGGGCCUUUUAUAGCUGACUAUGCGGUAUGGGCUUUGCUCAUUGUUGAAGGCCGUACGGUGACCUAUAGUUCUUAAAUUCUGUGUUAUUUUGGUCUCUUGUGGACAG